AUUGAACGCUGGCGGCAGGCCUAAAACAUGCAAGUCGAACGAGUGGCAGACGGGUGAGUAAUGUCUGGGAAACUGCCCGAUUGAGGGGGAUAACUACUUGAAACGGUAGCUACUCCCGCAUAACAUCGUAUGUUCCCAGAUGGGAUUAGCUAGUAGGUGGUUUAACGGAUCACCUAGGCGACGAUCCCUAGCUGGUCUGAGAGGAUGACAUGCCACACUGGAACUGGAACACGGUCCAGACUCCUACGGGAGGCAGCAGGGGGGAAUAGUGCACAAUGGGCGAGAGCCUGAGGGAGCCAUGCAGCGUGUAUGAAGAAGGACUUCGGGUUGUAAAGUACUUUCAGCGAGGAAGCGUUACUCGCAGAAGAAGCACCGGCUAACUCCGUGCCAGCAGCCGCGGUAAUAC
rnacentral:rRNA from 1 species